rnacentral:tRNA from 1 species
GCGUCGGUGGCAGAGUGGUCAAAUGCACGGGACUGUAAAUCCUGCGACGUUAGUCUACGGGGGUUCGAAUCCCUCCCGGCGCA